rnacentral:rRNA from 1 species
UGGGGAAUCUUGGACAAUGGGGGCAACCCUGAUCCAGCCAUGCCGCGUGAGUGAUGAAGGCCUUAGGGUUGUAAAACUCUUUCGCUAGGGAAGAUAAUGACGGUACCUAGUAAAGAAGUCCCGGCUAACUCCGUGCCAGCAGCCGCGGUAAUACGGAGGGGACUAGCGUUGUUCGGAAUUACUGGGCGUAAAGAGUUCGUAGGCGGACUAGCAAGUUAGAGGUGAAAUCCCAGGGCUCAACCUUGGAACUGCCUCCAAAACUAUUGGUCUAGAGUUCGAGAGAGGUGAGUGGAAUUCCAAGUGUAGAGGUGAAAUUCGUAGAUAUUUGGAGGAACACCAGUGGCGAAGGCGGCUCACUGGCUCGAUACUGACGCUGAGGUGCGAAAGUGUGGGGAGCAAACAGGAUUAGAUACCCUGGUAGUCCACGCCGUAAACGAUGAGUGCUAGAUGUUGGGAUUUUCGGAUUUCAGUGUCGCAGCUAACGCAUUAAGCACUCCGCCUGGGGAGUACGGCCGCAAGGUUAAAACUCAAAUGAAUUGACGG